AUGUUUGAACAUCCUACUCUUGCUCCACAGACAGCCUCACAAACAUCUGGAUCCACACAGCCCACCUCAUCUGGAAAUGUUCAAAGUAAAUUAAUAACAAAGAAAAUAACUUCAAGAAUUCAGGGAUGAAAAAACGUCACAAGUUUACCGUAUGUCCCGAGUACCUACCGUUAGCAUUACGAGCUGCCACGAGACAUCCAUGAACUUCUACGUACCCGCUACGAACAUUCUCCGAGUUUGAAUCAGGGGAAAACUCGGGAGAACUCAUGAAUUACCUCGUGCAGUGGUUCACGGGCUUUACCUGAGCAAUAUCACUAACACGUUAAUGGAUUAAGAAGCCAUUAAGGUUUUCCCCUGAUUCUAAUGAUGUCUAUAAUCCUGAAAUCAUCACGUGAGGAGAGCAAAGAAUCAAAUGCAAGUCCAUCUCUGCAUCACUGCAUAGCCAUGGUAAUAUAUUGAUCAAAACAAUACCGCAAUGCUGAACAUAGUUGCAAAGAUGGCAAUAUAGGAAUGAAAUUCUACUUGCAUUUAGAAUCUCAUUAGAAUGUCUAAUUUAGUUUGUGAACCAAUUUAAAUUAAAAAUACUCUGAGAAUGAAACACAAAUUUCAAUGGAGUAUCAUUAAACACAUGGCAAUUCUAAUGAAUACAAGAAACUAACUCAAUAUGUUAGCAGACUACUAACAGUUUUAUUUAUUUCCCUCUCUUUAUAUAGGCAAUGAUAAUACCAAUGUCCAAGUGAAUGUCUCAAUUUGUACAAUAGUUUGGUGUCCAAAUUGUGUAGGUUCAACUUAGUAUUAAGUGGAUCACAAUUCAGAAAAUGCUACAGCAAAUCAUCAGCACCAGUUGCAGCCCACUAGAUUUCCUUUUUUAUUCCACUGAGUUCCAACAAGAACACAAAGUGCUGGAGUAACUCAGGCGAGUCAGGUGCAGCAUCUCUGAAGUCAUGGAUUGCUGAAGAUUCAGGUGGAAAUGUCACCUAAUUAUUCUUCAGACUGGAUAGUUGAAUUCAACUAUCACAUGCAGGCUUUGUCCUGCUCCCACCUCAUUUCCAACUUCCUCUCCUCUGAAGAAGGGUCUUGAUCUAAAACAUCGUCUAACCGUGUUCCCCAGAGAUACUGCCUGACUCGCUGAGUUACUCCAGCAUUUUGUGUUCUAUGCAAAAUUCCAGCAUCUGCAGUUUUGUGUCUUGAGUCUUGUGAACAUCCCUUGUCUUUAUUUAUUCUGAUUCACAUAUUUUUCUUCUAUUUGAUUUUCGUGUCUUUUUUUAAAUUUCAAAUUACUUUCAAAAUUAGCCUUGAUUUUCCAUGAUUUUGCAGUGGGUACCAGAAAUCUGAAAUAGAAACAUUCUGUUUAGCAGGUCAGGUAAUAUUUGUGGGGAGAAAAGUGCUG